AUUGAACGCUGGCGGAAUGCUUUACACAUGCAAGUCGAACGGCAGCACGGACUUCGGUCUGGUGGCGAGUGGCGAACGGGUGAGUAACAUAUCGGAACGUAUCCAAUAAUGGGGGAUAACUAAUCGAAAGGUUGGCUAAUACCGCAUACGCCCUGAGGGGGAAAGCGGGGGACCGUAAGGCCUCGCGCGAUUAGAGCGGCCGAUAUCUGAUUAGCUUGUUGGUGGGGUAAAAGCCCACCAAGGCGACGAUCAGUAGCUGGUCUGAGAGGACGAUCAGCCACACUGGGACUGAGACACGGCCCAGACUCCUACGGGAGGCAGCAGUGGGAAUUUUGGACAAUGGGGGCAACCCUGAUCCAGCAACGCCGCGUGAAUGAAGAAGGCCUUAGGGUUGUAAAGUUCUUUUGUCAGGGAAGAAAGUUUCUGUGCUAAUACCAUAGAACGAUGACGGUACCUGAAGAAUAAGCACCGGCUAACUACGUG
rnacentral:rRNA from 1 species